ACAGUGGCUGCACAGUAUUACAUUUCAACCAGCAUUGUGCGAGGGGCCUAGUGUUUCCACAUCCUCUAGUAGAUUUGAGGUUUAAUGGUUUUGAUUUAUAGUCUCCUGAUAACUAGUGGUGUGGAGCAACAUUUUAGACAUGUAUUGGUCAUUGCUUUAGUGGUUAAAUUGGGCUUGAUUUAUAUCUUUCACUUCAGAUUUAUAUUUGAGGGAAAUAUUCAUUUCCUCUUUGUUCUUUGUCCAGUUUUAAAUGGUCUUUUAUUGCUCAACAUUGACUGUGUAUACUGUUAACCACUGAGCCAUCUCUCCAGCCCCAUAUUUGUACAUUUUAUUGAAGUCAUUUGGCUCUGGGCUUUGCUUUGUGGACAGUUUUUUUGACCAUUAAUUGAAUUUCUCUACAUGCUUUAUUAGAUCUAUUUAUCUUACCCUCUCCCCUUUUUUUAGUAAGUUUUGAUUGUUUAUGUCUUUGUAAUAAUGUUUACAUUUUGUUGAGGUUGUUAAUAUUGGCAAACAGUUAUUCACAUUGCUUGUAAAGCUAAAUGCCCUUGAACUAAAAAUUCAAGUUUUGAAAUGC
rnacentral:lncRNA from 1 species